AACGAGGGAGGUGGUGCUUGCACCGAUCAAUCGAGUGGCGGACGGGUGAGGUAACGCGUGGGUAACCUGCCUCAUACAGGGGGAUAACAACUGGAAACGGUUGAUAAUACCGCAUAAGCGCACGGUAUCGCAUGAUACAGUGUGAAAAACUCCGGUGGUAUGAGAUGGACCCGCGUCUGAUUAGCUAGUUGGCGGGGUAACGGCCCACCAAGGCGACGAUCAGUAGCCGGCCUGAGAGGGUGAACGGCCACAUUGGGACUGAGACACGGCCCAAACUCCUACGGGAGGCAGCAGUGGGGAAUAUUGCACAAUGGGGGAAACCCUGAUGCCAGCGACGCCGCGUGAGCGAAGAAGUAUUUCGGUAUGUAAAGCUCUAUCAGCAGGGAAGAAAAUGACGGUACCUGACUAAGAAGCCCCGGCUAACUACGUGCCAGCAGCCGC
rnacentral:rRNA from 1 species